rnacentral:rRNA from 1 species
UCUCCUCGAAAUAGCUUUAGGGCUAGCCUCGUAUUAGUCUGGUGGAGGUAGAGCACUGAAUUUCCUAGGGGGCGUCAAAGCCUACCGAAGAAUAUCAAACUCCGAAUGCCAUACAGAUGAUGUACGGGAGUCAGACGGCACGAGAUAAGUUGGGUCGUCAAAAGGGAAAGAGCCCAGACCUGCAGCUAAGGUCCCAAAGUGUGUGUUAAGUGGAAAAGGAUGUGGGAUUUCAAAGACAACUAGGAUGUUGGCUCAGAAGCAGCCACACAUUCAAAGAGUGCGUAAUAGCUCACUAGUCGAGAGGUCCUGCGCCGAAAAUGUCCGGGGCUGAAACACAACACCGAAGCUCAGGAAUGUAUUUAUACAUUGGUAGAGGAGCAUUCUUAAAGGGGCGAAGCAGUACCGAUAAGGAGCUGUGGACUUUUAAGAAGAGAGAAUGCCGGAAUGAGUAGCGAGAUGGAGGUGGGAAUCCUCCAGGCCGAAUAUCUAAGGUUUCCAGGGUAAAGCUGAUCUGCCCUGGGUAAGUCGGGGCCUAAGGCAAGGCUGAGAAGCGUAGCUGAUGGACAACAGGUUUAGAUUCCUGUACCACAUGGUAUCAGAACUGUGGGGACGCAGAGGGAUAAGAUGACCGGGGAACAGAACCCCGGGCAAGCGCAGGAGGUGUCAGGCAGGCAAAUCCGCCUGAUAAGCCAAAGACGUGACGCGGACCGAACUCAAGUAGGGAAGCAUCCGAUUCCAGCUGCCGAGAAAAGCCGCUAUUGUGUAUCAUGUGCCCGUACCGUAAACCGACACAGGUGGAUGAGGAGAGAAUCCUAAGGCCGGCGGGAGAAGCAUUGUUAAGGAACUCGGCAAAAUGACCCCGUAACUUCGGGAUAAGGGGUGCCAGAGAGAUCUGGCCGCAGAGAAUAGGCUCAAGCAACUGUUUAGCAAAAACACAGGUCUAUGCGAAACCGUAAGGUGAUGUAUAUGGGCUGACGCCUGCCCGGUGCUGGAAGGUUAAGAGGAGAGGUUAGAGCAAUCGAAGCUUUGAAUUGAAGCCCCAGUAAACGGCGGCCGUAACUAUAACGGUCCUAAGGUAGCGAAAUUCCUUGUCGGGUAAGUUCCGACCCGCACGAAAGGCGUAAUGAUUUGAGCGCUGUCUCGACAAUGCACCCGGUGAAAUUGAAAUACCAGUGAAGAUGCUGGUUACCUGCGCCAGGACGGAAAGACCCCAUGGAGCUUUACUCCAGCUUGAUACUGGGAUUCGGUAAUGCAUGCACAGGAUAGGUGGGAGGCUACGAGUACGGAACUCCGGUUUCGUAUGAGCCGCUGUUGGGAUACCACCCUUGCGUUACUGGGUUUCUAACCAUGGUCCGUGAUCCGGAUCGGGGACAAUGUCAGGUGGGGAGUUUGACUGGGGCGGUCGCCUCCGAAAGGGUAUCGGAGGCGCUCAAAGGUUCCCUCAGAAUGGUUGGAAACCAUUCGAAGAGUGCAAAGGCAGAAGGGAGCUUGACUGCGAGACCGACGGGUCGAGCAGGUAGGAAACUAGGACUUAGUGAUCCGGUGGUAUGAAAGUGGGAUUGCCAUCGCUCAACGGAUAAAAGCUACCCUGGGGAUAACAGGCUUAUCACUCCCAAGAGUUCACAUCGACGGAGUGGUUUGGCACCUCGAUGUCGGCUCAUCGCAUCCUGGGGCUGUAGUAGGUCCCAAGGGUUGGGCUGUUCGCCCAUUAAAGCGGUACGCGAGCUGGGUUCAGAACGUCGUGAGACAGUUCGGUCCCUAUCCGGCGCAGGCGGAGGAUAUUUGAGAGGAGCUGUCCUUAGUACGAGAGGACCGGGAUGGACGGACCGCUGGUGUACCGGUUGAGCUGCUAAGCUCAUGGCCGGGUAGCCAAGUCUGGCAGGGAUAAACGCUGAAGGCAUCUAAGCGUGAAGCCCCCCUCAAGAUGAGAUAUCCCAUUCGAAAGAAGUAAGACCCCUUGA